CGUGCUCAGGGAUUAGCACGGCCUUCAGGAUGAAGGUCAGGGAUCAUCGCAGGACGCGGUGCCAUCAGGACGAUGAGAAGGGAUCAAGGGAACAGGGAAGGAGGCGGGCGGGAUCGUAUCCCGCCCCUUUUUU
rnacentral:sRNA from 1 species